CCCUGUGAGCUUCCCUUUGUCAUCCUAUGCCUGAGCGAUGCCUGGAGGCUGGGACGGCCAAGGGAGGCCCACGGGCUGCCACCCACAGCCCC
ensembl:miRNA